rnacentral:tRNA from 1 species
GGAGAGGUGGCUGAGUGGUCGAAAGCGGUAGAUUGCUAAUCUGUUGUACGCUGUAAGGCGUACCGAGGGUUCGAAUCCCUCCCUCUCCG